rnacentral:rRNA from 1 species
CAGCAGUCGCCGCGGUAAUACAGAGGGUGCGAGCGUUAAUCGGAUUUACUGGGCGUAAAGCGUGCGUAGGCGGCUAAUUGAGUCGGAUGUGAAAUCCCCGAGCUUAACUUGGGAAUUGCAUUCGAUACUGGUUAGCUAGAGUGUGGGAGAGGAUGGUAGAAUUCCAGGUGUAGCGGUGAAAUGCGUAGAGAUCUGGAGGAAUACCGAUGGCGAAGGCAGCCAUCUGGCCUAACACUGACGCUGAGGUACGAAAGCAUGGGGAGCAAACAGGAUUAGAUACCCCUGUAGUCCCUGUCUCUUAUAC